UACGAAGGGGGCUAGCGUUGUUCGGAAUCACUGGGCGUAAAGCGUACGUAGGCGGAUUGUUAAGUCAGGGGUGAAAUCCCGAGGCUCAACCUCGGAACUGCCUUUGAUACUGACUGUCUUGAGUCCGGGAGAGGUGAGUGGAACUCCUAGUGUAGAGGUGAAAUUCGUAGAUAUUAGGAAGAACACCAGUGGCGAAGGCGGCUCACUGGCCCGGAACUGACGCUGAUGUACGAAAGCGUGGGGAGCAAACAGG
rnacentral:rRNA from 1 species